rnacentral:lncRNA from 1 species
GAGUUUUGGACGUUGUGUGAAGUCGUAUCUUGAUGUGUGUGAGCGUGAGUUUUGGACGUUGUGUGAAGUUGUGUUUUGGUGUGUGUGCGUGAGUUUUGGACGUUGUGUGGAGUCGUGUUUUGAUGUGUGUGAGCGUGAGUUUUGGACGUUGUGUGGAGUUGUGUUUUGAUGUGUGUGAGCGUGAGUUUUGGACGUUGUGUGAAGUUGUGUCUUGAUGUGUGUGAGCGUGAGUUUUGGACGCUGUGUGAAGUCGUGUCUUUGUGUGUGAGUUUUGGACGUUGUGCGAAGUUGUGUUUUGAUGUGUGUGUGUGUGAGUUUUGGACGUUGUGCGAAGUUGUGUUUUGAUGUGUGUGAGCAUGAGUUUUGGACGUUGUGUGGAGUUGUGUUUUGAUGUGUGCCAGUGCGGGUUUCUUCGGCCUUGCUCUCUUGUGGUCCUGCCCAGGCCGAAAAGCGAACAGUCCAGUGAGCCAACUGGACCAUGGAGGACGAGAUGCAUGUGAACCGAACUCACCAAACACGGCCUGCAGAGGAGGACCGUCCAUCCAGGGCCAGCCUGCAUCCAGGGGCC